rnacentral:tRNA from 1 species
GCUCAGGUGGUGGAAUCGGUAGACACACACGUUUGAGGGGCGUGUGCCGCAAGGCGUAUGGGUUCGAGUCCCAUCUUGAGCA